rnacentral:misc_RNA from 1 species
AAGACUAUAGACCUGCGGAGUACCUGCGGAAGGAUCAUUAAAGAGAAAACUGCCCUUUGGGUAGAUUUCCCACCCUUUGUUUACUUUACCUUUGUUGCUUUGGCAGGCCCGUCUUCUGACCACCGGCUUCUAGCUGGUCCGUGCCUGCCAGAGGACCCCCAACUCUUGAUUUUAAGUUGUCCGAGUCUUAUAUAAUAGUAAAAACUUUCAGCAAUGGAUCUCUAGAUCGGAAGAGCACAC